CAUAUCAAUAAGCGGAGGAAAAGAAACUAACAAGGAUUCCCCUAGUAACUGCGAGUGAAGCGGGAAAAGCUCAAAUUUAAAAUCUGGCAGUCUAUGGCUGUCCGAGUUGUAAUCUAGAGAAGUGUUAUCCGCGUUGGACCGUGUACAAGUCUCCUGGAAUGGAGCAUCAUAGAGGGUGAGAAUCCCGUCUUUGACACGGACUGCCAGGGCUUUGUGAUGCGCUCUCAAAGAGUCGAGUUGUUUGGGAAUGCAGCUCAAAAUGGGUGGUAAAUUCCAUCUAAAGCUAAAUAUUGGCGAGAGACCGAUAGCGAACAAGUACCGUGAGGGAAAGAUGAAAAGAACUUUGGAAAGAGAGUUAAACAGUACGUGAAAUUGCUGAAAGGGAAACGCUUGAAGUCAGUCACGUUGGCCAGGGAUCAACCUUGCUUUUGCUUGGUGUAUUUUCUGGUUGACGGGUCAGCAUCAAUUUUGAUCAUUGGAAAAAGGUCAAGGGAAUGUGGCAUCUUUGGAUGUGUUAUAGCCCUUGGUUGCAUACAAUGGUUGGGAUUGAGGAACUCAGCACGCCGUAAGGCCGGGUUUUUAACCACGUACGUGCUUAGGAUGCUGGCAUAAUGGCUUUAAUCGACCCGUCUUGAAACACGGACCAAGGAGUCUAACAUGCCUGCGAGUGUUUGGGUGGAAAACCCGAGCGCGCAAUGAAAGUGAAAGUUGAGAUCCCUGUCGUGGGGAGCAUCGACGCCCGGACCAGACCUUUUGUGACGGUUCCGCGGUAGAGCAUGUAUGUUGGGACCCGAAAGAUGGUGAACUAUGCCUGAAUAGGGUGAAGCCAGAGGAAACUCUGGUGGAGGCUCGUAGCGAUUCUGACGUGCAAAUCGAUCGUCAAAUUUGGGUAUAGGGGCGAAAGACUAAUCGAACUCAUCUAGUAGCUGG
rnacentral:rRNA from 1 species